AGCCUGUGUAUGUUUAUAGUGUGAGGGCAGUUCGAGGGGAACCUCUGUGCCGUCGAGACGCCCAUACCAUUCUGGAAUCAGACCAAUAAGCUGAUAUUCUGACUGUUCCCGCAAUGCGUUUGACCGCUACUGAAUAAACCUUGAGCGAGUGCUA